GGUUCCAUAGCUCAGUUGGUAGAGCAAAGGACUGAAAAUCCUUGUGUCCCCGGUUCGAUUCCUGGUGGCACCA
rnacentral:tRNA from 1 species